AUUGAACGCUGGCGGAAUGCUUUACACACGCAAGUCGAACGGCAGCACGGACUUCGGUCUGGUGGCGAGUGGCGAACGGGUGAGUAAUAUAUCGGAACGUGCCCAGUCGUGGGGGAUAACGUAGCGAAAGCUACGCUAAUACCGCAUACGAUCUACGGAUGAAAGCGGGGGAUCGCAAGACCUCGCGCGAUUGGAGCGGCCGAUAUCAGAUUAGGUAGUCGGUGAGGUAAAGGCUCACCAAGCCGACGAUCUGUAGCUGGUCUGAGAGGACGACCAGCCACACUGGGACUGAGACACGGCCCAGACUCCUACGGGAGGCAGCAGUGGGGAAUUUUGGACAAUGGACGCAAGUCUGAUUCAGCCAUUCCGCGUGCAGGACGAAGGCCUUCGGGUUGUAAACUGCUUUUGUACAGAACGAAAAGGUCUCUAUUAAUACUAGGGGCUCAUGACGGUACUGUAAGAAUAAGCACCGGCUAACUACGUGCCAGCCGCCGCAGUAA
rnacentral:rRNA from 1 species